UAGGGAAUCUUCCGCAAUGGACGCAAGUCUGACGGAGCAACGCCGCGUGAGUGAAGAAGGAUUUCGGUUCGUAAAACUCUGUUGUUAGAGAAGAACAGCGUAUAGAGUAACUGUUAUGCGUGUGACGGUAUCUAACCAGAAAGCCACGGCUAACUACGUGCCAGCAGCCGCGGUAAUACGUAGGUGGCAAGCGUUGUCCGGAUUUAUUGGGCGUAAAGCGAGCGCAGGCGGUUAAUUAAGUCUGAUGUGAAAGCCCCCGGCUGAACCGGGGAGGGUCAUUGGAAACUGGUUGACUUGAGUGCAGAAGAGGGGAGUGGAAUUCCAUGUGUAGCGGUGAAAUGCGUAGAUAUAUGGAGGAACACCAGUGGCGAAGGCGACUCUCUGGUCUGUAACAGACGCUGAGGCUCGAAAGCGUGGGUAGCAAACAGG
rnacentral:rRNA from 1 species